UUCCAAAUUCACUAGGAGAGGGAGAGGAGAAAAUAAUAAGAAGAAGAGAGGAGGAGAAGGAGAGGAAGGAAACGCUUGGUGAAAAGAGCUUGUGCCGCCAUGGUGGUGCUGCAUGCUGCUGCUACAUGUUUGCUGCUACUCUUGAUACUACUGUACACACAAGAAAGAUGUGGAACCGGAGCUAAAGUGAGACAGGAUUUCGACAAAGGUUUUGAGACACUGAGAUGUUGAUGGACAUCACUUCUUAUUUCAGUUAUGAUUGUAUAUGUAAAAGGUACAGCAUGCAUGUGGCUGAAUUGAACCAAAUCCAUGCAUGCAGUCAAAAUUCCCAAUUUUUGGGUGAUUGCAUGCUUGGAGCUUGGUUGGAAUAUUAUUUACAUGCAUAUAACCUGUUGUACAGCAGUAUAGAGAGAUGAAAUUUACCUCUCCGAAUAGGUACAGCAGCAGCUCAAUAUAUGCAGUAAAAUUUCAACAGGAUUUCAGCUUGGACAGCCCCUUGCACCUCACAUCUUGGCUUGCAUGCAUCCUUUUCUACAGCAGCAGCAGGAUCUCAAUAACACCAGCAAGAGGGCACAGCAGGAGCAGAGAAUACAUGUAGCUGCAGCCCCAAAAAUACACGAACAGCAGUCCUUCUUUCCUUUUAUUCUUCUUCUUCUUUCUCCUUCUCUUCUCUUCUUCUUCUUUUUUCUCCCUUCUUUCUCUUGCUGUCCAAGUGAGAAGAAAUGAGAUAAUGUGGUUGGUGGUGGUCUUUUAUAGCCCCACUAUCCUUGGUGGAAUGUUCCACUAACUUCUAGUAUUAUAUAUAUAUAUAUAUAUAUAUAUUUAUAUAAAUCCAUAAUACUUACAUUAUGUCAUAUUAGUAUAUAUAUAUAAUUAAUUAUAUACUCAUCUUUAAUUAAUAAUUUUAAUUUUAUUAUAAAUUUUAUGAUUUAACUUAUUUUAUCAUAACAAACUCAUGGAAAUAAGUCCACAUGUCAAAUUUCAAGAGUGAGACUCAUUUCAAUCAAAUUUGACCAUUUUGUGCAUCUGACAGGUCAGGUUCAGGGCUCUCUAGCCGGUUGGGUCAGGCUUGACUCCCUUGGUCUAUAUCACUGUCCAUUACACCUAACCCCUAUUAUAGGUAUAUUUUAUCUGUUAUCCCAUGCCAGUAUUGGCCCUCUCUGCCUGGUAUCUUGCCUGUCCACAAGGAAGGCAGGAAAAUGAAAUUAGGGUGUUACAAUGGAGUUGUUGUCCAAAGGUUCAAAGCCUCUUACUACUGCCACUGUGUGCUUCUGCUGCUCAGUUCUCUGUUGUACAAACAUAUAGAUUCAGAUGGAAAGAGGAGAAUGGAGAAGGUAACACCAAUUGCCAUUGCUGAUUAUGGCUGAGAAGGGGGUGCAUGCAAAAGGGGCUGCACCUACAGUUGCUGUCCAUGAAGUGCAAGGGUUGCAACAAGUAGGAAACAAGUAAAAGUGGAAGAAAAGUUAUUGUCCAAGUUUGGGAAUUUCUGCUAGAACCUCCCUACUGCUGUACACACACCCCAAAGUUAAUUUCCUAUUUCUAUUUUGCUGUACAGUGGCUAGAUAGGGUAGAAAAUAAAUUUCUGCGAGGUUUCCCAAGCAUGUAGACACCCAAAACUGGGAACCUUGGACUGCAUGCCUUGGAAUUGGCUGGGAAUCAGUCACAGGGAGAGUAAUUGUGAUAGCAUGUUAUGUUUGUGUUAAUUUGGUAGGAUAUAAAAUGAUUGUGGUUCCUGUGACCUAUUUCAGCCAAAUUUGGCUAGAAGUGUAUGAUAAGUAGCCAAAGGUUUGAGAAAA